rnacentral:snoRNA from 1 species
AAGACUCUACUUUCAGGGAUCAUUUCUUUAGUCUGGAACUAGAGGAUUGUGUUUCUACAGAGGUUGGUCUGGCUGUCCAUGAUGAUGAAUGAAGAUGUUUCCUUCAGAGCAGGAAGCUGGUGAGAAGAUGAAAAUCUUCUUCACUGAUGAAGACUGUUCAGUGUUUCUGGAUCUGACACUGAAGGAGGAAACAUUGUCUGAGUGGA